rnacentral:tRNA from 1 species
GGAGGAGUGCCAGAGUGGACGAAUGGGCUCGUCUCGAAAACGAGUAUAUCGGCAACGGUAUCGUGAGUUCGAAUCUCACCUCCUCCG